rnacentral:rRNA from 1 species
UAACGCGAAGAACCUUACCAGGUCUUGACAUCUUCUGAUAGCCUAAGAGAUUAGGUGUUCCCUUCGGGGACAGAAUGACAGGUGGUGCAUGGUUGUCGUCAGCUCGUGUCGUGAGAUGUUGGGUUAAGUCCCGCAACGAGCGCAACCCUUAUUGUCAGUUGCCAGCAUUAAGUUGGGCACUCUGGCAAGACUGCCGGUGACAAACCGGAGGAAGGUGGGGAUGACGUCAAAUCAUCAUGCCCCUUAUGACCUGGGCUACACACGUGCUACAAUGGACGAUACAACGAGUCGCUAGACCGCGAGGUUAAGCUAAUCUCUGAAAGUCGUCCUCAGUUCGGAUUGCAGGCUGCAACUCGCCUGCAUGAAGUCGGAAUCGCUAGUAAUCGCGGAUCAGC